AAGAAGAAAUCAUAUACUUCCGUAUAUGCUUUAGGGCAAUAUAUAUCUAUGUCUGCCCACAAAGCACGGAGAGUUAUUGAUCAGAUCCGUGGACGUUCCUACGAAGAAGCACUUAUGAUAUUAGAACUUAUGCCGUAUCGAGGAUGUUAUCCCAUUUUUAAAUUAGUUUAUUCUGCAGCAGCAAAUGCUAGUCAUAAUAAGGGUUUCAAAGAAACCAAUUUAGUCAUUAGUAAAGCUGAAGUGAAUCAAGGAAAUACGGUGAAAAAAUUAAAACCUCGGGCACGAGGACGGAGUUACCCAAUAAAAAGAUCCACUUGUCAUAUAACUAUCGUAUUGGAAGAUAUAUCCUUAUAUCAACAAUAUGAAGAAUAUUUAAUGUAUUUAAAAAAACCUGGAUGCAGCAAUGAAAACAUAAAUCUAACAUGUUACGAUACAUAUAGUAGUGGAGGCCCAUGGGACAAAAAAUAAAUCCACUUGGUUUCAGACUUGGUACAACCCAAAGUCAUCAUUCUAUUUGGUUUGCACAACCAAAAAAGUAUUCUGAAGGUUUAGAAGAAGAUAAAAAAAUACGAGACUGUAUUAAAAAUUAUGUCCAAAAAAAUAUAAGAAUAUCCUCUGGUAUGGAGGGAAUUGCACGUAUCGAAAUUCAAAAAAGAAUCGAUCUCAUUCAGAUCAUAAUCUAUAUGGGAUUUCCUAAAUUAUUAAUUGAAGAUAAACCCCGAAGAAUCGAAGAAUUACAGAUGAAUGUUCAAAAAGAACUUAAUUGUGUCAAUAGAAAACUCAACAUUGCUAUUACCCGAAUUUCCAAUCCGUAUGGGCAUCCUAAUAUUCUUGCAGAAUUUAUAGCUGGCCAAUUAAAAAAUCGCGUUUCUUUUCGAAAAGCAAUGAAAAAAGCUAUUGAAUUAACUGAACAGGCGAAUACAAAAGGAAUUCAAGUACAAAUUGCAGGACGUAUCGACGGAAAAGAAAUUGCACGUGUUGAAUGGAUCAGAGAAGGCAGAGUUCCUUUACAAACAAUUGAAGCUAAAAUUGAUUAUUGUUCCUAUACAGUUCGAACUAUUUAUGGGGUUUUAGGAAUAAAAAUUUGGAUAUUCGUAGACGAAGAAUAAAAAAACUUUAUUUGUCUUUACAUUUUAUCCAAUGAUAAAAAACGAAAACUAUGUAGUAUAACACUAUAAAGAAAUAAAAAUAAAAACUUGUAGUCUUCUUUUUUAUGUUUAAGAAAAAAAAAUAAGCAAUUCUAUAAGGUUGAAUAAACAUUUCCAUCAAAACUCCUUUGAUAUAAUUGCUAUGCUUAGUGUGUGACUCGUUGGUUUAGGGUUAGAUUACGAUAAAAAAAAAAAAGAACUUACCAACUAAUAACUACAGCAUUAAUAAAUAACCUAAGCAACUCAUUGCUUCGCAUUAUCUGGAUCCAAAAAAUUAGUCAAGAUAUGAUAGGCUGAUCAUAUCAUUGGAGCAACUGACUAAAAAAAAAGAAUAAAGAAAGAUGAUUAUUAAGUUAUGAAAGGUAAUCAAAAAGUAUGCGGAUAAAUGGAAGGAUGAAAGAAAGAGCGAAAAAAUUGAAUAUUAAUGAUAUAUGAUUCCAAUUUGGAAAAUCUAUGAGGUCACUGUAAGAAAAGCAAUGUAAUAAAGCAUCAAUACAGAUUCAUUCAUAAUAAUUAGAUAAAUAAUAAUAAUUAGAUAAAUCUGUUCCGAAAACAAAAAAUUAAGAGCCUUGAGACAAUCAAAACUGAGAAAAUUGCCUCAAAAAAAAAAGAAAUUCAAAAUUUCAUGUAAAAGCUCCAUUGUAGAAUUCAGGCCUAAUGAUUAAUCAAGAAGCGAUGGGAACGACGGAACCCAUGAAUAUAUAGGAUUCUAGUGAACAAGAAAUCUUAGUAAUUCAUUGGACAGGAUGGCGGAAUAAACCAGAAACUUUAUUAUCUAUUCUGAUUUUGAUUCUGAGACCUCGGGGGAUAAACAGCAAACUUAAAUAGAUAUUGAAAGAGUAAAUAUUCGCCGGCGAAAAAUUGGUUUUUUUUUUUCAAAUAAAAACAGUAAUAAAAGAUGAAAAAAACAAUGAAAAAAAAAUAAGGAUUUGUUAUAAUAUUCUAACUCUAAUAAAAAUUACAUUUGUAAUGAUGAUAUUACGUUAUUUUUAAAUAAAUCGAAAUAAAAUUGAUCUUUGAUUCUAUUUCAAAAAAGACAUACACAAAUUUAGAAGAGAUAAGAUGAAAUAAAAAAAAAAUACCAUGAUUAAUAGGAUUAAUCAUUAACUACAUCUAUAUCUUAAUUAAUCCUUUUAUUCGCGAGGAGCUGGAUGAGAAGAAACUCUCACGUCCAGUUCUGCAGUAGAGAUGGAAUUUCUCAUUUAGAAAAAACCCAUCAACUAUAACCCAAAAAGAACCAAAUUUCGUAAACAACAUCGAGGAAGACUAAAAGGAAUAUCCUCUCGUGGGAAUCGUAUUUGUUUUGGCAGAUAUGCUCUUCAAACACUUGAACCCGCUUGGAUUACAUCUAGACAAAUAGAAGCAGGGCGACGAGCAAUGACACGAAAUAUACGACGUGGUGGAAAAAUUUGGGUACGUAUAUUUCCAGACAAGCCAGUUACAGUAAGACCCGCGGAAACGCGUAUGGGUUCUGGGAAAGGAUCCCCAGAGUACUGGGUAGCUGUGGUUAAACCAGGUAAAAUCCUUUAUGAAAUGGGUGGUGUACCAGAAAAUAUAGCCAGAAAAGCUAUUUCAAUCGCGGCAUCAAAAAUGCCUAUAAAAACCCAAUUCAUUAUUUCUGAAUAGGAAUAUAGAAUGAAAAAGCUAAAUAACAUUUAAGGAUAAAAAGAUUCUAAGUUUUUUUUGACAAACAAUAUUUUUUUUACUUCGUCCUUUGCACUAAAAGAAGAGAUACAAAAAUAUGAUUCAACCACAAACCUAUUUGAAUGUAGCAGACAACAGCGGGGCUCGAAAAUUGAUGUGUAUUCGAAUAAUAGGAGCUAGUAAUCGCCGCUAUGCUCAUAUUGGUGACGUUAUUGUUGCUGUAAUCAAGGAAGCAAUCCCAAAUACUACUCUAGAAAGAUCAGAAGUGGUCAGAGCUGUAAUUGUACGUACUUGUAAAGAACUCAAACGUAAGAAUGGGACGAUAAUACGAUAUGACGACAAUGCCGCAGUUGUCAUUGAUCAAGAAGGAAAUCCAAAAGGAACUCGCGUUUUUGGGGCGAUCCCACGGGAAUUGAGACAAUUAAACUUUACUAAAAUAGUUUCAUUAGCUCCUGAAGUAUUAUAAGACCUAAAUAUCGAUAGUUAAUAUAGGAUAGGAUUAAAAAAAUGGUAUUGAAAUCAAAUUAAUUAUAAUUAAUAGAUUGUGUAUCACGCAUAUACCCUUAAUAAUUUUAUAUAUUAAUAAUUGAAUUCAUAUAUUAAUAUAUAAUUCGUCUCUAUUUUUAUAUAAAUAAAAGAAAAAUAACAUGUUGAUUAUAUCAAAAUUAUAGAACAAUUAAGGAAUUUUAACUUAUCAUGGGGAAAGACACUAUUGCUGAUAUAAUAACCUCUAUACGAAAUGCUGACAUGAAUAGAAAAGGAACAGUUCGGAUAGGAUCGACUAACAUCACCGAAAGCAUUGUUAAAAUACUUUUACGAGAGGGUUUUAUCGAAAACGUAAGGAAACAUCGCGAAAACAAUCAAUAUUUUUUGAUUUUAACCCUAAGACAUAGACGAAAUAAGAAAGAAUCCUAUAAAACGAUUUUAAAUUUAAAGAGAAUAAGCCGACCGGGUCUACGAAUCUAUUCUAACUCUCAACGAAUUCCACGAAUUUUAGGCGGAAUAGGAAUUGUAAUCCUUUCAACUUCUCAAGGUAUAAUGACAGAUCGAGAAGCUCGACUAAAAAGAAUCGGCGGAGAAAUUUUGUGUUAUAUAUGGUAAUCCUUCUAAUAUCAAAAUUGGAUAUCCGGAACUUAGCAUUUGUGAAAAAAAAGGGGGGGGGUUGUGUAAUACCACCCCUGCUAAAAAAGUUUAGAAUUUUUUACCCCGAAUGAAAUUAAAGAAAAAAAUGAAUUAAUGAAAGUUUUCUUUAUGAAUCACUUCCGAACGGUAUGGUUCGAUUUUGUUUAGAUACUAAAGAUUUUUUUUAUUUUAGGUCAUGCUUCUGAAAGGAUUCGACAUAUUUUUGUAUAGGUAUACCUAUAGGAGAAAAAGGGGGGUAAAAAUUUUAGUAAGUUCUUAGGUAUUAAGUUAAUCGGGGAACAGCCACUUUCUAGACUCCAUAACAAGGAUUCAAAUAAGUCAGUGGUUUUUUGAAAUUCAACAUUCCUUUCACGAAGAUACAAUUCAAGAUUCAAAAAUAUCAAGAAACCUUUUUUUCGUCCAACAAUAAGUAUAUUAAGAGAAUUAAGGAAUAACAACUAUGAAAAUAAGGGCUUCCGUUCGUAAAAUUUGUGAAAAGUGUCGGCUAAUCCGUAGGAGGGGACGAAUUAUAGUAAUUUGUUCCAACCCGAGGCAUAAACAAAGACAAGGAUAAUCUUACUAAAGGAAAAGGCACUUCCAAGGAGCUAGUAAAAAAAAGGUCCGUUUUGACAUGAAAUGGAUAUAUCCAUAUAUUUCUUGUGAAAUGAAAAAAUAUGGCAAAACCUAUAUUAAGAAUUGGUUCACGUAAAAAUACCCGUAGUGGUUCACGUAAAAAUGUACGUAGAAUACCAAAGGGAGUUAUUCAUGUUCAAGCAAGUUUCAACAAUACCAUUGUGACCGUUACAGAUGUACGGGGUCGGGUGAUUUCUUGGUCCUCCGCGGGUACUUGUGGAUUCAGGGGUACAAGAAGAGGAACACCUUUUGCUGCUCAAACCGCAGCAGGAAAUGCUAUUCGAGCAGUAGUGGAUCAAGGUAUGCAACGAGCUGAAGUAAGGAUAAAAGGCCCUGGACUAGGAAGAGAUGCAGCAUUACGAGCUAUUCGUAGAAGCGGUAUACUUUUAAGUUUCGUACGAGAUGUAACCCCUAUGCCACAUAAUGGUUGUAGACCCCCUAAAAAACGACGUGUAUAGAACUAAAUAAAGGCUGAAAGGGUUUCAAGAGAAAUAAAUGAUUCAAUGAUCUGAUCAAAUAAAAUUACUAUGGUUCGAGAGAAAGUCAAAGUAUCUACUCGGACACUACAGUGGAAGUGUGUUGAAUCAAGAAGAGACAGUAAGCGUCUUUAUUAUGGACGCUUUAUUCUGUCUCCACUUAUGAAAGGUCAAGCCGACACAAUAGGCAUUGCGAUGCGAAGAGCUUUACUUGGCGAAAUAGAAGGAACAUGUAUUACACGUGCAAAAUCUGAGAACAUACCACAUGACUAUUCUAACAUAGUCGGUAUUCAAGAAUCAGUACAUGAAAUUUUAAUGAAUUUGAACGAGAUUGUAUUAAAAAGUAAUCUAUAUGGAACGCGCAACGCGCUUAUUUGUGUCCAAGGUCCCGGAUAUAUAACUGCUCGAGACAUAGUUUUACCGCCCUCUGUGGAAAUCGUUGAUAAUACACAGCAUAUAGCUACCUUAACGGAACCAAUAAAUUUGUGUAUUGGAUUAAAAAUCGAGAGGAAUCGCGGAUAUAGUUUAAAAAUGUCAAAUAACUUUGAAGACCGAAGUUAUCCUAUAGAUGCUGUAUUCAUGCCUGUUCAAAAUGCGAAUCAUAGUAUUCAUUCUUAUGGGAAUGGGAAUGAAAAACAAGAGAUUCUUUUUCUAGAAAUAUGGACAAAUGGAAGUUUAACUCCUAAAGAAGCACUUCAUGAAGCCUCCCGGAAUUUGAUUAAUUUAUUUAUUCCUUUUCUACAUGUAGAAGAAGAAACGUUCUAUUUAGAGAACAAUCAACAUCAAGUUACUUUACCCCUUUUUCCUUUUCAUAAUAGAUUAGUUAACCUAAGAAAAAAAAAAAAGAACUAGCGUUUCAAUAUAUUUUUAUUGACCAAUUAGAAUUGCCUCCCAGAAUCUAUAAUUGUCUCAAAAAGUCCAAUAUACAUACAUUAUUGGAUCUUUUGAAUAACAGUCAAGAAGACCUUAUCAAAAUGGAACAUUUUCACAUAGAAGAUGUAAAAAAGAUAUUAGACAUUUUAGAAAAAAAAUAAAAAAAGCAUUAAAAAAAAUUUGACUAAAAAGUCAAUUUAAAAUUGAAAUGGAUUUUAAACCUUCAACGUAAUUUCGAUUUUCCAGUCAAACCUAUUUUACUUAAUAAAAUUAAUUUAGAUAUGUAUCUAGGGAGAAUUCAUUUUGAAAUGACUACUCCCUAGAUACCCACGCCUUUUAUUUUACAAUUGAAUAAAUUUAAUUAAAAAAGACCUAAAGUUAGAGAUUUAUCAAUUGGUAAUGUUGCUCCAAUACCUAACCACAGGGCCACCACGGUGCCAAUCAAAAAGACGGUUGUCGCGACUGGACGACGAAAUGGAUUUUGGAACUUAUUAACAUUUUCCAAAAAGGGUACGGUUAAUAAUCCCGCCGGUACUGAAGCCAUUAAAAGAACACCCAAUAAUUUGUUAGGCACUGUACGAAGUAUUUGAAAUACAGGAAAGAAAUACCAUUCAGGUAAUAUUUCCAAAGGAGUUGCAAAAGGAUCCGCAGGUUCACCAAUCAUUGAUGGUUCUAAAACCGCUAAGCCUACGUUACAGGCAAUGGUACCAAGAAUGACUACUGGAAAAAUAUAUAAAAGAUCAUUGGGCCAUGCGGGCUCUCCGUAAUAAUUAUGACCCAUACCUUUAGCUAAUUUAGCUCGUAAUACAGGAUCAUUCAAAUCUGGUUUUUUUGUUAUUGGGAUAGGUGAAUUCUUAUGGAUCCAUCCCCCGAGGGAACCGGACAUGAUAAUUUUUCAUCAUCCGGCUCGAGCAAGAAUUAACCAAACUAAAUUAAUACAUACAAAAAAUAUAUAUGUUAUCCACAAGUAUUUAAUAUGUAAAAAAAGAAUUAUCCGAUUCCAAAGUUAUUGCAACUAAAGAUUACCAUAAAUUCCAUUCUUACAGGUAAAUGCUCAACACCCACGUAAGCUUAAAAGUUGAUCAUGAUUAAGUGCUUUCUGGAUCGUCUCAUACCUUAUCAAUUAAUCCUUAAUCUCAAAAAUUAUAUCGAGAUUUUUCAAAUACAAAGGAUUUACUUGUUACUAAUGAAGUCUACCCUCUACUCUUCAUUAGAUCCUGUAUUCACUCCGAUAGUAUCAGAAAUCGAGUCGAUGCAGAGGAAAUGAAUGCAUUUACAUACUAUUAAUUUUUUAUUUUUUUAGCUCUUUUUUAGUAAAAAAUAGCUAAAAACAUAAUCCUGAUUAUGUUCCAUCCCUUAAUCUCCUGGAUUUUUGGAUUUUACGGAGCCCACUCAUCCACGACAUCGUCGGGUAUUAUGAUCAUAGAAAAGAUUCUCUUCAAGUGAACCAGCCUAUCCCCUGUAUGGGGCUUACACAGUGGUUGGAACAAAGACACAUUUGGUUGUGAAUUCCAAUGUAGCAGAUAAAGUCAUAUUUCUGCACGGCCCGAUCAAUAGUUCAAGUCACACACUCCCAUAAUCCAUUUUCUCUUCAUAGAAUUCCCUUCAACUUUUUAUGUCAAAAAAAUAAUACAAUAUUGUGGAGUUGAAGGGAAAUAUCCAAAUACAUGUCUUAUUUUUUUAAUAAUCCAUAUUUAUAGCAAUAAAAUACGAUUGUUCCUUCACCAAGUAAUAAGAUAAAUUAGUAAUUAAAAAUAUCUAGAAUCUAUAUUAUUUAUAAGGGACCAGAAAUACCUUGCUUACGUAUCAUUAAGAAAUGCAUUAACAUAAAUACAGCCGUAAGAAGAGGUAAUACAAAAGUGUGUAAACUAUAAAAACGAGUCAAAGUGGAUUGUCCAACACUAGCACUUCCGCGUAAUAAUUCUACAAGAGGCGAUCCUAUUACCGGAAUAGCGUCAGGUACACCUGUUACAAUUUUGACUGCCCAAUAGCCAAUUUGAUCCCAAGGUAAAGAAUAACCUGUUACACCAAAAGAUGCGGUCAAUACACCCAGAACCACACCAGUAACCCAAGUUAAUUCGCGAGGUUUUUUAAAACCACCGGUGAGGUAUACACGAAAUACGUGCAGGAUCAUCAUUAGGACCAUCAUACUUGCCGACCAUCGAUGAACUGAUCGGAUUAACCAACCAAAGUUAGCUUCAGUCAUUAUAUAUUGAACAGAAGCAAAAGCCUCAGUAACAGUUGGACGGUAAUAAAAAGUCAUAGCAAAUCCCGUAGCUACUUGUACUAAAAAACAAGUAAGGGUAAUUCCUCCUAGACAAUAAAAUAUGUUGACAUGCGGAGGAACAUAUUUACUAGUUAUAUCGUCUGCAAUCGCUUGAAUCUCAAGACGUUCUUCGAACCAAUCAUAAACUUUAUUGAGAUAGGUAAACCAAGGUUCCUCCCCCUCCAAGAACUGUAUAUGAGAAUUUCAUCUCGUACAGCUCAAACAAAAAAAAGACCCAAAUACUGAUUGAAACGGAUAUGGAAUAUAAAGUUUUAAACUUCUCUCUCAUUCAAUAUUAUUUAAGAGUCAAAAUGCGAAAGCUCUUCUUUGUGGUUAAAUGCCAAAAACUCAAGUCAGCUCAUACGUCUUUAUGUUGUGUUGAUCGUUACAGGCCUCUUGAAUCUUCUAGAUUACCUACCGUUAUUGUCUUUUUUAGUUGGUAUUUGUAUGGAAUGGGAAUACGGAUUUCUUCUUGUUUUCUUUAUUAUUGAUAGGAAUUUUCUUGUUAAGACCCUACUUAUUAAUUGAAACCUCAGAUUCAUACGAAAACCACGAUAAUUCAAUGAAACCUUCAAAGUCCAAAGUUCACUGAGUGAGAACCAUUGGAUCAUCACUUAUUCAAUAAAAAAAAAAGAGCUAUAAUGAUUAAAAACAUAAAAUACAAAGAAGCGUUUGUCCUUUGAUCUAAAUAAGAGUUUAAAAGCAGAAAAAAAUUGAUUUAUGAAAAUUUAUAAGAUAGAACGGAAAGAAGUCCGGCUACGAGGUCUAAGUAUUAAGUAUGAAUCAUAGUUCGAAAACUUUGUGAUCUAUUUGAUCUAUUUCGUGCUCCAGAUACUCGAAUGAAUAUCCGACGAAAUAAAACCAUCUUGAUAAAGAUGACAGACCCCCUUCUCUGUACUAUCCAUAGGGUCAAUUCUAACAAGUCACACACUCAUAUUCCGGAAAUAUACAAUGCAGAAAAAAAUUUCGCGGUCGAACUACCAAAGGAGAAUAGGUGCAAAAUUUUAGACCUACAUACUUUACUUUUUUGUAUCGAACAAAAAGCUAGCACUUCAAGAUUCUUCUCAGUCUAAUUCAUUGAAAUUCCAUCCAGUAGAACAGAGGAAUUAUAAAUCUCCAAAAUAAUAGAUAGGAAUACCGCAAAUAGUGCCAUUGCAACACCCAUCAAAGGGGUCGUUCCCCAUCCAGGAGCUACUUUACCAUAUUCAGAAUUCAACGGUUUCAAUAACUUCCCUACAGUAGUGCUUCUUGGACCAGAUCUAGAACUAUCUUCAACAGUUUGUGUAGCCAUAAAUCUUAUUUUGUAUUCAUUACGAUCUGUUGACUUUGUAUACCAUUCCGUUGUAAAUAAACGAUCUUAGCAUAGAUCCAUUGUGGUCUUUCAAUUAUAUAAUAAUGGAAACAGCAACUCUAGUCGCCAUCUUUAUAUCUGGGUUACUUGUAAGUUUUACUGGGUAUGCUCUAUAUACUGCCUUUGGGCAACCCUCUCAACAACUAAGAGAUCCAUUCGAGGAACACGGGGACUAGUUGACGUAAUCAGCCUCCAAAUAGUUGGAGGCUGAUUACGUCAAUGAAGAGAAUGAAAAAUUAUUUCAUUUUUUAGUUGAAAUUGUAGGCGGUUCCCGAAAAAAAAUAGCGAAAAAAAUGAUCCCUAAAGUCGAUACUAAGAGAAAUGUAUAAACCAAUGCUUCCAUAAAUUUGAUCGUGGUUUACAAUUAUAGCUUUCAUACCUGUUUUGUUUAUGUUUACUGAAGGAGUAUACCUCCGGAUAAAGAACAAAAAAGAGUCAAAGAAACGGCAGCGAUUUAAA